rnacentral:rRNA from 1 species
AUGAAACAUAUGCAUUAUGAAGAUGAAAGCACUAAAUAUAUCGGUAUGUCUCCAAUUAACAAGGCACUAGAUAUGAUCUGUUGUUGGAUUGACGAUCCAAAUCCAGAUGCAUUGAGGUUACAUAUUCCAAGGAUCUAUGACUAUUUAUGGCUUGCAGAAGAUGGCAUGAAAGCUGUUGUGUACGAUGGUUGUCAAAGUUGGGAGAUAGCUUUUAUUAUCCAAGCCUAUUGCUCCACAGACCUUGUUAAUGAGUUUGGUCCAACACUUAAAAAAGCCAAUGGGUUCUUGAAAAGUUCACAGGUUCUUGAGAACCACCCCGACAGUGAAGCUUAUUACCGCCAUAGGUCGAAAGGUUCAUGGACACUUUCAACAGCAGAUAAUGGUUGGAAUGUAUCAGAUUGCACUACAGAAGCACUUAAGGCAUUAUUGCUAUUGUCAAAUAUCUCUCCUAAUCUUGUGGGGGAUCCCAUAACAGAAGAAAGGUUGUAUGAUGCAGUGGAUUGCUUACUUUCUUUCAAGAACAAUGAUGGUACCUUUUCUACAUACGAGUGUAAGAGAACUACAUCAUUGAUAGAGGUUCUUAACCCUUCUGAGUCAUUUCUGAAUAUUAUGGUCAACUAUCCAUCGGUCGAAUGCACAUCAUCAGUUCUUGAAGCCUUGAUUAUGUUUAGUGAAAAUUACCCAGGGUACCGCAAAGAUGAGAUAGGAAAAUGCAUAAAAAAUUGUGCCAUGUUUAUUGAGAAUAGUCAACGGAAGGAUGGAUCAUGGUUUGGCAUUUGGGGUAUAUGUUUCACUUAUGGAACAUUAUUUGCUGUAAAAGGGUUAAUUGCUGCUGGAAGUACUUACGACAAUAGUUCCUUCAUAAGAAAAGCAUGCAACUUUCUAUUGUCAAAGCAGCUAAGUACAGGUGGAUGGGGUGAGACUUAUCUUUCAAGUGAAACUAAGUCUUAUGUGGAUGCUACUAGUCCUCACGCGGUGAACACUGCUUGGGCAAUGUUGGCUUUAGUUUAUGCUGGGCAGGUUGAACGAGAUCCCGCACCAUUGUAUCAUGCCGCAAAAGAAUUGAUGAAUAUGCAACUAGACACAGGGGAGUUUCCCCAGCAAGAACACGUUGGAUGCUUCAAUUGCUCCGUGUACUUCAAUUAUGGCAACUACUGCAACUUAUAUCCCAUCUGGGCUAUUGGAGAGUUUCGUCGUUGA